GGAAAACUCCCGGCCUGGCCUUGACACUCGAACAUGUGGGUCCUGGAAAUUCAGGGACUUUCUGCUUCCAAGUUAACUUUGACCAAGCUGGAACGUGACUUUUGGAGAAAUGGUUGCCAGUCACUUCUACUGGCAAACCACGUGGACGCGCCUUUUGUAAAGUGUCUUCAGAGCUUUUACAAGACAAUUCUUUCCUCUAUUAGUGGUAACCAAAUUUAUCUCCUUCUCUGAUCCAUUUUCCUCCUACCUUUAUUGCUAUAGCUUAAAAUCAGAGACCAGAUUCAGGGUCUAAUCACCAGCUCCAGGCCUGGGUUUUGCUUUUAAAGAGGUCUGUUCUCAGGUGACGUGAUGGAAGACAGAAAGCUUGUUUCAGCAAGGACUUCAUAGAAUCAGGUGAGCUGGGCUGGUGGUGCAUGAUUCACGUGACAGUCGUUUUAAUCAUCUGUGCAUUAUAAAUUUGAUCUACAGAAAAUUAUUCUCAAAAACAACCAUGGAGUCUCCAGAUUUUCACACAAUGUCUAGGUGUUUAGUGGAGCUCUAUGGUAUCGUUCAAAGAAUUAAUUAAGAGUAAAUGACUUUGAACCUCGCAUGCCAACCCCCCCGUGUUUGUGUGUGUGUGUGUGUGUGUGUGUGUGUGUAUAAUCAGUCAAGAAUUGAUCCACACUUUUUUUUGUAUGUUUUUAGACAAGAUCGUAGUGCAGAAUGAUCUGAAACUAAUUGCAAACAUGAGAAUAAUCUUAGAUUCCUGAUUCUUCUAGCUGUUAUCUACUUGUAAAUCCAAGCUGGAGCUACAAAAUCAUUUUGGAAACACAGUUGGACAAUAUUUUGAGCAUGCCAUGCAGUAAGAACUGAUGGGUGGCCAGGAGUGGCCGCCCUUUUAACAUGUUGACACAAUGGUACCUACAAAGUUCACACCCAAAACCACACAGUCCAGUUACAAAAAAAUAAAAACCACUCCAAAUGAGGUUAUGAUUUGUGUUGUGCUCCAUUCAUCCCUGCCCUUGGAGCCUCAUGUGGCCUGUGGAUCACAGGUUGGAUAUGCCUGGACGAAGCAACCAGAGGAGUUUGGCAUACCUACUUCCCUGAAAAUGUUACAUGCCUAAAAUUACCUACUUCACAAAAAUCUUUGUUGUGAACUCUCCCGGUGUACCUGUCUUUUUCUUCCUUUUUGGUGGCAAUAGCAAGGUCCUCAGUCAUGUAAUUCACCAUUUUCAACCUUGGCUACACGUUCAGGCCGUCCUCAGUGGCCUCUUCCUAGUAUCAAUAAGAUGACAUCAAGUCUCGAUGAGUCAAUCUGUCUGCCUACAUUGGUCCUCACAUCAUUUCCCACAGUUUGAUGAAGAUCGAUGUUGAGUCUUUAUUAUCUAUUUUAGUCUCCUGGUCCCUCAUGCAGUCACCCUCUGCUGAAGAGCAUAGACUCUGUCCUCCCAACCCUUUAAAACUUUGCUUCAUGAAUCUCAGGCAACUUCCACUAGACCUCCUUCCUCACACCAACCCCUCAGUUAAAUAAUCUCUCAAAACUAAUAAUAAUAAUUAUUUUAUUUAUAUAAUAAAACCUUGAUUUGGAUUUAAUUUCAACAAGUAAAUUAAAAUAAAUUUUAAAAAGUUUGAUAAUUUUUAACAUCUCUGUGGCUGGCCCACAGACCCACCUAGGAUGCACAAAAUUGCUGGCGACCACAAGACCACAUUUGUGGAAUACUCGUCCAUCCAUCCCACCGCUAAUGUGCAUUCUGCAGAGUGAAAAGGAUCAAAUGUGACUUGUGUCAAGUUACGUUUCCUUUAUUUCUUACAGUGCUUUUUAAUUCUUCUUUAUUGAUUGCAGAAAUUUUUGAUUUAUUGAUUUGUCAGCUUUCCUAGUCUAUCUGCUUCAGUGCUGGGAAACUGAAGUGUGCGGAAAGACCAAGGCUGACAAGUAGAAACUUAAAGACCCAACUUAGCAGCCAUCAACGAACCAGACACUAGUAAUGAUUCUGCAGAGGGCUUGCUGGGUUAACUGGCUAUGUGCUUUGGGACGUGAAUGGUUGAUCUUUAAGGCUUAACUCAGGAUCCGCUGUUCACACACACUGGCAUGUUUACCUAAAGGAAAAUUACAGAACGAGCUGUGUCCAGAAUCCUCGGGUACUCCCCUUCAUCCGGCCUCUUGUUUCUUUGGAUAUUUUGCUCAGUUCAAAACCUUGAUUUCCCAGCAUGCCCUCUGCUCUAUUGGGCUACACAUGCGCAUGACUUGAGUGUGAACAAUUGGAUGUGUGAGAGCCGUCUGUUUGAAAUGAGGAAGAUAAGCCUAGGGGCUUCUCAGAUUUUCCCUUUACUCUGAACAUGGGGUUGAAGUUGGGAAUGAGGAACGUGAGAAGCUUGGAGUCUGCUGCUGAGGUAAGACUGCCCCUCCUGCCACUGAGGUAGGUAAGCCCCUGAACAUGAUGAUUUACCUCUUUGCAACCCCAGCUGCUGUGUUUUUCUGGGCUGUGAGGUCAAAUUUUAUUUCCACAGGAACCCUAGAACACACAGGACACCACAGUUUCAGCUCCAUCUUGCUUUACCUCCAGUUUCCUCCCAACUCCAAAGGAUGAAGAACAGGGAGCCUCUCCAAGACACACACUGGGAAAUAACCCUUCCCAUUUGUUUACCUGAGUUUGGAACUGGAAGCACAUCUAGUGCUUCAAGCCAAGAGUACUUCCCCGAGACUGCGGGAACCUCGGCAAGAAGAUGUGGACACUUCUGAAGAGAAUGGAGGACACGAGAUUUUCCUCUGGAUUGGGCGCUGUCAGAAGACAAGUGAAACCAGCAUGAAUAAUAUGGCUCUGCCAUGAUUGACAGCAAGUUGGUCAUGCCAUAGAGGCCAAGCAUUGUCUGUCAGGUAGCUCCCUGAUGUUUCACCCUCGUUCAUGUGACUUGACAGUGACAGAAUCCACAUGAGAGCUAGGACACAGCCCUGACCCAGCUCAGCAGAGUUUUGUGAUGCCAGUCACAUCUUUUUCAUCCAGGUCUUUCAAUGGAUUACUCAAUACCUGACAGGUAACCUUUUUCCCUCCUCAAAUACCCAGAAUAGCCUAAGCCUUAGUCAUCCAGAAUAAACUAAGCCUUGAAUCUCCCAGAAUAAGCUAAGCUCUUAGCCUCUUGAAAGAUUGCUUCGUCAACUGUCAUAAUUCGUUUACAGCAGAGUUAAAAUGCUAUAAAGGAGUUACAAGCAGAACACUGUAGACUGCUGACUCCUGCUGUGGUUUUAAAGGCAUUUUGCUAUCUUAAAGCUCUAAUGGUCUGACUUUGGAAGUCUGCUGGUCUUUGUCUGAUUGACGAUUCUGGCAUCAUCGUGCGAACCAUGAAGUCUGAGCCAGUGAGUUCCUUGUCUCCAGGAAUUGUCCUGUGAUUCUCAAGCAGGCACCACACCUCAGAAAGGAAACAGGUGUCGCCCUGGAAGGUAGCAGGCUUUCAAAAGCCUUUCUAUGUACCCACCUGGAAUUUCAGCAUCUGGGGGGCUGAGACAGAGGCAUUAUAUGUUUGAAGUCAGCCUGAGCUAUAUGAAAAGUGCCAGAUCAGCUGAAACCUCGCGUUAGAAAGUAAGCAGAGACCACCACUAACAAAAGCAGUUCAUGUGAAGCUAAAAAUUUGGGAAUGUAAGAAGUACUCCACUGUGGAUAAACCUGGGUCGGGAUUUGACUUGGAAUAACAUUCGGGGGAGAAAAGAAUUCACAGGCUGUCCGGUGUGUCUAGAGCACUAGAGAAGGUCGUGGGUCGGAAUGGGGUGUUCACGGGUCCAGGCUGUGGGCACUCCGGAAAAUAAUAAAGCAGACACAAACAGGAUACUUAAAGCCAAAAUAAAGAUUCUUUGGAAUCAGACGGAUGAGUCUCUUCUAAUGCAGAGGUCCUGAAGGACAAUGUCUGGAGCCGAAGGCUAGAUGCAGGAACUCUCAUGGAGGGAAAACGACUUUUGGGCAGUCUUAAUUUACAAAAAGACACUUAAGAGGCUGAGUCACACACUCUCAUCCCACCAAGGACCUUGAAGGACCAGGGACUAAGGUGGGUGCAUUAGGGGACAUUUCCUUUUUUGGCCUUCAGAUCACACUUUGAAGAACUGAGGCAGAUGGGAACUCGUGGUCCAUGACUGGAUAGCUCUGAGUGAACUGUGGGGUGGAGAUAUUUAUGCCGGGUCACCGAGUUCAUUUGCACCCCGGAUAACCAGACUGCGGAGUGAGCUACUGAGCGUGAAGGACACAAGACCAGAAUCUCAGAGGUGGAAAUGCUCUCCAGUUUUGAGGUCUUGCUCACAAUGCAGUGAAAACGCGUAAAACUGGGUGAGGUGAGGUAGCAUCACCGAAGAGACAGGGGCAUUCCAGCUGAGAAUGCUUCCUUUAAAAGAGACUACACCAAGACAACUAGACGCUUGAGCAAGCAGAGGCUUGCUGUUCCCAAGACUGCUCUCCAGAAAGGUAUGGGAAGCCCACUCUGGAGACAAGAUCAAAUGAAAGAAUGACCUACAUUUUAAACAGCCCAGGAUAGAAAGUCUCGGAACUGCCAUGUUAACUCCACUGUCUGCUUGUCUCUGUUACUUCCUUUAACAGUGUGUUGUCACCUGCAAUGCCCUUGGAAAAAAAUGCUCACCACUAGAGGCAAAUUCUAAUUAACUCAAUCCAUCCUCAAAACAGACCCCUGAGGAAGGUGGAGUUGCCACCCCUGUUUUGUGAGGAAACUGGAGUGCAGAGAUGUGAAAGAAACCCUUUCCCAUCAUUCACGCAGGUAUCCAUGAGGCUGGACCAGGCACCCACACCCAACGUUCUGGCUACAGACUGCCUGCUCUCACCGCUUUCUCCCAACAUUACUUCUCUCUAUCUGUGACACUCAAGAAAUAAACUUGGCAACCACAAAGACAAUUUUCUGUCUUAGUAAUCCACUUUGAUUCUGCUUCCCCUUCCUGGGAUGGGCAUGGCGCUAUGGUGAUUAUCUAAGCCAUCUGGGGACUGCGGACACACACUCUUUGUUUAUAGAAGACUUGGAGGUCCAUUAAAGGUUCAGUGAGGUGUCGGUUCUGCUCGUUCACGAUAGCAGCGGAUGCUGGCUUUCCCUCCCACGUUUCCCAGUAUCCCUUCAACUGGUUCAGUGAUCUUUCCUUGGCUCCAUUUAUCUGGC
rnacentral:sRNA from 1 species